UUGCCCAAAAACAUUGCAGUGUGCUGUCUCAGAAAUAUCUGUUUCUGAGACAGCACACUGCAAUGUUUUUGGGUU
rnacentral:miRNA from 1 species